UACGGGGGGGGCAAGCGUUGUUCGGAAUUACUGGGUGUAAAGGGCGCGUAGGCGGCCAUCUAAGUCAGACGUGAAAUCCCUCGGCUCAACCGAGGAACUGCGUCUGAUACUGGAAGGCUUGAAUCCGGGAGAGGGAUGUGGAAUUCCAGGUGUAGCGGUGAAAUGCGUAGAUAUCUGGAGGAACACCGGUGGCGAAGGCGGCAAUCCUGGACCGGUAUUGACGCUG
rnacentral:rRNA from 1 species